rnacentral:pre_miRNA from 1 species
GUGGGGAGUGCCGGAUCUUGGGCUGUGUCCUCCAGUGCCCUGGGGUCCAGGGCCUGUGUCACUGGAAUCAUGCUCCAGGGGCUGUGCAGCCCCCU